rnacentral:lncRNA from 1 species
CGUGGACGUAGACUUUAUAGCCGAACCAUAUAAAUUUUAUGUCUAUUUUUUUUUUCUCUUCUCUAUUUUUUCUUCUCUUUUCUAUUUCAUGUGAUUGUGCAAGUUUGUGUGCGCCUUAUUUUGUAUCUAUUAUAACAUCAUAUAUAUAUAUAUCUUUCAAUUAUUUUGAUGAGCGAAUAUUUUCCACACCGUCAUAUGUUUCCUCUUUUCCACUGGGCCUUGAGACGAUGGAAGAGUAACAUGGGACCUUCUUACCUCGUAAUGUAGACAUCCUAUAUUUCACUGAGAGAAGCUUCAUCAAGCUGCUUUCGAGUAAUACUUAACUCGCCUUCUAAGACAGUCGACUUGAUGAAUCUAGGAUUUGCUGCCGAAUUCUUCAAACUGUGGGCUAACUCCAAAACCGUUUGGAUCAAAAGUAGCACCUAGUAAGAAUAAAGGAACGAUCCAUGUAUACUACCCACUUUACACUUGUCUUGUUGUUUCCUGGAAUAAUUUUCUUCCCUUGGAGGGACCAUACCU